rfam:Planctomycetes bacterium RBG_16_64_12 RBG_16_scaffold_26337, whole genome shotgun sequence.
CAGCGGGUGCAAACCCCGCCCGGUAACUGGUCGCUCCAACCGGUAGCACCUGGAGCGGUUCAAGGAGGUAACGAAUUGGACUGAAGCACUCCCGGAAAAGGCUCCCUUGGGGAGUCAGCAAACACGCAGGCCAUAACGUGA